GAUGAACGCUAGCGGCAGGCCUAAUACAUGCAAGUCGAACGGUAACAUGAGUAGCAAUACUUGAUGACGAGUGGCGCACGGGUGCGUAACGCGUAUGCAAUCUACCUUUAACUGGUGAAUAGCCCGAAGAAAUUCGGAUUAAUACACCAUAGUAUAUUAGAGUAGCAUUACUUUAAUAUUAAAACUACGGUGGUUAAAGAUGAGCAUGCGUGACAUUAGCUAGUUGGUGAGGUAACGGCUCACCAAGGCUACGAUGUCUAGGGGAUCUGAGAGGAUUAACCCCCACACUGGUACUGAGACAGGGACCAGACUCCUACGGGAGGCAGCAGUAAGGAAUAUUGGACAAUGGUCGCAAGACUGAUCCAGCCAUGCCGCGUGAAGGAUGACGGCCCUAUGGGUUGUAAACUUCUUUUGUACGGGAAAAAACCCCUCUACGUGUAGAGGGCUGAUUGUACUGUAAGAAUAAGGAUCGGCUAACUCCGUGCCAGCAGCCGCGGUAAU
rnacentral:rRNA from 1 species